GUGGGGAAUAUUGGACAAUGGGCGAAAGCCUGAUCCAGCCAUGCCGCGUGUGUGAAGAAGGUCUUCGGAUUGUAAAGCACUUUAAGUUGGGAGGAAGGGCAGUAAGUUAAUACCUUGCUGUUUUGACGUUACCGACAGAAUAAGCACCGGCUAACUUCGUGCCAGCAGCCGCGGUAAUACGAAGGGUGCAAGCGUUAAUCGGAAUUACUGGGCGUAAAGCGCGCGUAGGUGGUUUUGUAAGUUGGAGAUGACAUCCCCGGGCUCAACCGUGGAACUGCCUCCAAAACUGCAUGACUAGAGUACGGUAGAGGGUAGUGGAAUUUCCUGUGUAGCGGUGAAAUGCGUAGAUAUAGGAAGGAACACCAGUGGCGAAGGCGACUACCUGGACUGAUACUGACACUGAGGUGCGAAAGCGUGGGGAGCAAACAGGAUUAGAAACCCGAGUAGUCC
rnacentral:rRNA from 1 species